rnacentral:rRNA from 1 species
AUGGAGCCCGCAGCGCCUCCCGCGUUGCCCUGCCCCGUUGACGACGACGACGAUUUCUACUGGGACGCCGAGGCCGAGGCGGAGCUCCAGGCCAUCGAGGCCGCCUACGCCGCCGAGUCCGCCAAGCGCCGCCGCCUCCCCGACUGGUCCAAAACCCCCGCCGCCCCCGCCCCCGCCCCCGUCCGCCCACGACCCAACCCGGUCCCCGCGGCCGCGAGCGCCUCCUCGCCGUCGUGGGUCCUCUCGCCCCCCACUUGCCAAGGGAGUGUGAAGGCUAGGUACCAACAGGUAUCAUUCAGCGGCAAGAUAGUGUACUGCCGGACUGGAGCUGAAGUGGAGAAAGCUACACGGGAGAUUGUACGCAAAAUCGAAAGCAUGAAGGCCUCUGGCCCGGUCUCCCUUGGUUUCGACCUCGAGUGGAAACCCUUUCCCAGAAGAGGAGAACCGCCUUGUAAAGUCGCGCUAAUGCAGUUAUGCUUGGACAAAACUCAUUGUUAUCUCAUGCAUAUCAUUCACAGUGGAGUACCUCCUAUAUUGAAGUCUCUUUUGGAGGACAGUUCAUCCGUUAAAGUUGGAGUAUGUAUAGACAACGAUGCAAGGAAAAUGUUCAAUGAUUAUGAAGUACAUGUACAACCAUUGAUGGAUUUGUCAACUGUUGCAAAUGUCAAGUUAGCUGGGACUUAUAAAAGAUGGAGUCUCGCUGCAUUAACCGAAAUGAUCACAUGUAAAGAGUUGCCAAAGCCUGGCAACAUAAGAAUGGGAAACUGGGAGUCUUUUGUUCUCUCAAAAAAGCAACUUGAGUAUGCUGCUACCGAUGCUUACAUCUCGUGGUACUUGUAUGAGGUACUACGGAGUCUUCCAGAUUAUACUCCUGAUAUUGAAACAGAGGUUGUUUAG